rnacentral:lncRNA from 1 species
UAUCAAUCAAGCAGUUAAGCAAAUUAAAUCACAACUCAGAAAUCACAACUGAAGGUAAUCAAUUCAUAUUACAAAUAUAUUCAUGGCUUUGAACUUCCCCCUAGCUAAGUAGGGGAUUAGUUCCUCAUACUUGCAAUUAAACAAAAACAAUUGAUAUUAAACAUAGAAAAACAAAGUAGAAUACACCUAGAAUGCUCCAACAACUCCAAUGGAAUGGCUAGCACAACUCCAAGCACUCCUCCUUCUUUGCAAGCCUUGGAACUAAUGUAAAUGUGUAUGAAUUUCUGUGUGUGUUUUUAAUGAGGUUGCUGCCAUCCAUGGUAUUUAUAGGAAAAGGAUGGACUUGUUUAACACAAAAUUCUGGUGGAAUUGAGUAGGUGAGAGCAAGGCAAAGAGUGGGAAUUGUUGGUGGGUUAGGUAUUGAGUCAUCCAUUCACAUGUCAUGGUGAGUUAAGCAGCAUUGCAUCAUCCACUCACAUGUCAUGGUGUGAUUUAAGCAUUGCAUCAUCAUCACUCAAAUUUCUGGUGAAAGUGAAUCAAUGCCCACGGCAUUGAAGAAUUUUCUUGGUUUUGAGUGAAGUUUUGGUCAAUCCUUCUAGAAAUUUAUCCCCUUCUUGCAACUUGUAUUUGUUUCACCAGAUUUUUAGCAUGUUCAUAGCCUCUUUUGUCUUCAAAUUCGUCCAUCCUCAUGCCUCCAUGCUUGCACAAUCCAAUCUUGGCCCAAAAAUGCUCUAGAAUGUUCCAAAUUGCUUCUUUUUGCAUACUUUGACACUAAAACCUGAAAAUUGCACGAAAAAUAACUUUAAAACAUUAUAAUUAUCAUAGUUUAGCUAAUUAAAAGCAAGAAAAAACAAGCUAACUAAGUCGUAUAAAUAUGCUCCUAUCAAUUUCCCCCACACUUAGCUUUUGCUAGUCCUCGAGCAAAACAAAGAAAAACAAGAACAAGAAGUAACAAGAAAAACAUUAGCUUCCCCCUAUGUGACCCUCAUAGAAUUUCAUUCGAGAACACAAAUCAACAAGAACCAUAGCUGGCACCAAACAAGCUAAUCCAAGUUUAUCUUCCUUAUUCAAAUAUUAGCAGUAAUCUUUGAAUCAUCCUUGAAGUGUAGUGUGUGAGAUAGCCAUGCUAAUGCAAUUUCAAAAUUUUUAUAUUUUUAAAAUCAUCAUAUGCAAACUAGCAACCUUCUCACGGGAUAUACACUCAAUCACACAUGUGUUUAGUUUAAAUGUGUUUCGCUCAAGGAAUCAAAUGUGAAAGUUCUACCAUAAGCUUGCAUAAAGAUCACUUCUCCACAGUCAUAAUUGCAAAACUUAAAUCAAGAGGACUUUUAUUGGAUGUAAUGAGGUUUAGGGAGAGGGUUAUUGAAAUGAAAGAAUAGGUAAACACAAGUUCCAAGCUACAUUGCAAGCAAUUCUUUUCUUUAGAUUUAUAAGAACUCAACCUUUCCAACGAUUCUUUUAGCACCUCCAACCACACCCUUAAACUGAAACUUGAACAACUUUUUAUUUUCUUUGUAUACAAUCUUUCUUUUUCUUUUCUUUUAUCUUCUCUUUUUUUUUUUUUUUUUUAAAUACAAACAUGAAAUACCUCCACACUUAUUCUUUUGCCAAACACCUUCAAAGUACUUCACAAACAUUUCUCAUAAGACAAUCUCACAUUGCUCACUUGGAAAGGGUAAGGAAAAAAAUGUUUCAGGUAUAAGGGUAGACAUAUCUGGUGAUAAGAAAUAAAAGGCUCAACAUACACGGCUCAAAUUGGCAAUCUAAUGAUAUCAUUUUUCUUUGGGAAACAUGGUUAUUUGGGCCAUAGUGGUAAACCUAAUGCCUCUAUCAUUUCCAAAUUCAUGCAAUCAAUGACAAACAUUUCGAAAUAUCAUUACGCAAGUUCUAGAGAUGUAUCUCACAUAAGUUCAUCACACAUGAAAGAAUAGGAGUGUAUGAAAAAUGCACACACUUUCAAUCGGCUAAAAAACUCACAUAGGAUGUAUAUGGUCACUAAAUUCACAUAUGAAGCUUUAAGUCAUACUUUAGUUUCACAUUAACAAGGCUAUGUGCAUUUGGUUUUUCAAAGAUGGUCAAACAUGUACAAAACUAACAAGAGAAUUAGGAAUUUCACAAAACACAUGUUAACUAAGUUCUUGAUGAUCAUGGUUCAAAUUUGAUCCAAUUAUAUCAUUGGGUCAGGAAACUAACAAAAAUCUAAUUCAAAACAAUAAGGGAAACAAGACAAUAUUUUUGGAUUUUUAAAUUUUCUGAUUUUAAAAAAAAAAAAUUUUUUAAAGAAAACAAAACUAAUUAAGAAAACAAAAAGCAACAACACAAAAACAAAUGAAACCAGUUCGUAGUCGAAGGUACAAAAAAUUUUAAUUUGGUCAUUUUUUAUACUCUUUACCCCCAAACUUAAACUGGACAUUGUCCCCAAUGUCAGAAAACACUAUAAUGCAAAUAAAAAUAAAAUAAAUAAAUAAUAAGAAACAAAAUAAAACAAUUGGACUGAAAACUUCCCUAAUUUGCAGUAAAAUCAAGCGAUGACCCCCAAGCUAAAAUUCUGCAAUCAACUUCAAGGGUGGAAAUAACCAAAAGUUCCUGCAAAGAAAAGAAAUAAUUCAGUUAAGUAACACAAGAAAAUAUAAAAAAAUUGCAAACGAAAAAUUGAAAAUCACGAUAAAAGACAAUGAAUAGAACUAAUAAGUGAUCAUUGGUCGUGCUUGUUGACUUUCUACAGCUUUGAUCUCGAACUGGUUUGGAAUUCUGAGCGAGAAUUGCACAGUCUGCAUUCUUCUCUGCUUGUUUCUUCAGCACGGCGGGCAGGCACGAGGUAGUUGUGUUGGUCUGAUUCUUUCUUCAAUCUUUCCAAGUGCCCACCUCUUGCUUUCUUUCUCCUUGUCCCUAGCUGAAUUGUCUCCACAUGCUUCGAGGUAUCAUUUUCACUUCCCUUACUGUCCCCCAGGCAGAUGUGGUAGACGAAGAGAAAACACAAAAUGAUGAAGAUGAGUACUCGAGAGCAAGGCUAGGUAAGCAAUCAGGAAGAGGUUCCAGGCAGUUGGCUCCAGAUCGGAAGAUUUAUACCAAGUGCUGGCUGAUUGCUUGCUUUCUCCUUAUCGUAAAACAAAGACAAGGAGAAGGACAGGGAGAAAGCAUGAUAUGAGAUACUCUUGCUUUCAACCUUUAUGAUAUGAAAUACUUUUGCUCUGGAUGGGUUGUUUGCAGGGGUAUCCCAGGGAAUGAGGAAUACAGAGUGACUCGAGAGGUUUCUUUGGGAAUGCAUUCUCGGAGAUGAAGAAGUGCUGAGAGGGUGUGCCUUUGCUGUGGAAGGCGAAGGUAGAUACUUAUGGGACUUUUCUUCACAACCGGAACUAUUCCCUCACUCAUUGUCGGCAGCCGGUGGAUGGAUGAAUAGUACAAAUUACGCGCUUUCUGACAAAGCUGCCCGUAAUUUCCACAAAGCUGCAAGUUGCAUGUGACGAGUGACGACACGUCUAGACAAAUUGAUCUUGCGAAAUCCGGGGUUCGGCUCGUGGUUUCUGAGCAAGCCCAGCUUUUGAGAAAUGCAACGCCUCUUUUGAGAAAAUAAUCCGGCUUUUGAGAAAGGAGCCCCGACUCUUCGAUUUUCGAGAGGACGCUUCUUCGAUUUCUGAGGAGCGCCUUUCUGAUUUCUUCUUUUUAUAGAGGCGCUAAUUUUGUUCCACAACACACUUGAGCUCCCUCUUGUCACUCAUUCCUGUAAACUUCCAAAAUCUUAAUCUGUCCGAUCUCUUCUUUCUCAACACCUUCAGAAAAUGUCUGGCCCUUCCGAUCGUCGUUUUGACUUGAACCGUGGUGAAGAGGCAGCCCCGCCUUCACCAGACAACAUAUGGCGCCCAUCUUUCAUAUCCCCUACUGGUCCUCUUACUGUUGGGGAUUCGGUGAUGAAAAAUAACAUGACUGCUGCGGUGGUGGCCCGGAACCUUGUCACCCCCAGAGAUAACAGACUGCUCGCUAGACGGUCUGAUGAAUUGGCGGUUAAGGAGUCUCUGGCUCUUAGCGUGCAGUGUGCGGGUUCCGUGUCCAACAUGGCCCAACGCCUAUUUGCUCGAACCCGUCACGUUGAAUCGUUGGUGGCUGAAAUACAGAGUCUCAAAGAGGAGAUUAGAGGACUCAAGCAUGAAAAUACAAUUGCACAAGCUUGCACACAAUUAUGCCACAAACAUGAAGAGGAAAAUUGACCAGCUGCAGGAAAAUGAUGGUCAGAUUUUACUUGAUCACCGGAGGUUUGUGGGUUUGUUCCAACCGCAUCUGCCUUCGUCUUCUGGGGCGGCACCGCGUAGUGAAGCUCCAACUGAUCAACCUCCGAUACCUCCUCCUUCCGUGGCCCCGCCGACUGUUGAAGCUCCGCCGACUACUGAAGCACCACCUGACCAAUGAAUGUUUAUUAGUUUACACAUCAUUGUAAAAUAUUUUUACUUUUAUGUUUUUUAUUUUUUUAUUUUUGGCUUUUUUUUAAGUAUGUAAAUUAAUGUAAAAAGACUUUGUUUAACCUUCCCCCACACUUAAACUAAAUAACACAAACUCACAGAAAUCAACCAAAUAACACAACUAACUAAACAAAACAAAAUGAAAGCAGUAAAGAUAAGGGUGUAAGAAUGCAAAUCUGAUUUGGUUAGCGAUUCCAAAGUCUCCCUUCGUUGAAUGCUUGGGUUGCCUCCCAAGAAGCGCUUGCUUUAACGUCCGCAGUCGGACGAAUCUUUCCUUUAAACUCCCCUCGGCUCCAAAGCAUGGAAUUUAUCUUUUAAUGGGAGGUGAUACUUGAAAUGAUUCGGCAAUGGUUUAAAUUCAAGAGUGGGUGCCUGAAUCAUCAAAAUCAGAAACAUGUUAGUAUAAAUUAAAAUUAAAAUUGGAGAAGAUGGCUUACUUUCUUUUUCCGACACAAACUCAAUGACAAACACCCAUAUCUUUGAACAUUUUCCGGGACUUUGAACUUGGCCAGGUUUACUAUGAUGGUUGUGGCUUGUCCCGUGUCAUCAAACUCAACUGCUUUGGGCUUGAUUGUCUCAUGCACAGCCUCUUGGAUGUAUUCUUCUUGAUAUGCUUCAACCACUUCAUUCUCUUGAAUCCCUUUUCUUGGUGUGCAAGGUUCUUUGAACGUUUCAAUACCAUCGGGAACUUGUUUUGGUGCACCAAGAAUUGGGAUAUCACUUUGCACCUUUGGAAGAGCUUCCACAAUGUCUUUUUCACUCUCUUUGAUAUUUGGAAUCAAAAACCUGCAAGGACAAAGGACAUUCGGUGGAAUAAUGUUAGAAUGAAGUGAAUUUAGAACUUCCUCACCUGAGUUGGAUGACAUAGGGAUUUGAGGAGCUUGCAGCAAGAAUUCUUCUAAACUGCCCAGGUCGUCCUCCUCUUCUUCUGCUUGCAGCAGCAAUUCAUCCAUGUUCGGGCUGUGUUUGGAUGGUUCUGGGACAGCUUCAUCCUUCAUGUCACCUUCCAAAGUGAUGGCUUCAUCGAUUUCACUUUCUGCCUUUGAAUUUGCAAUGUUUGAGUUGGAAAGUUCACUUUGAUCUCGAAUCUGUGCCAUGAAUUCCACAAUCUGCCCAACUUGCAUCUCCAAUUCGUCCACUCUUUUGACUCGGUCUUGCAUCUCCUGGUUUUGAUUUUCUACUCCCUGAUUCAAAGAGGUGAGUAAUUUAUUAAGUGUAUCAUUAUCCAAGGACGUACCUAAAUUGAAUUGGGUUGAUUGUUGUGGUGGCUGUGACGGUUCAUAUGGCCACUGAUAGAACUCUUUCGAUGGCGGCAAUUGUUCUUCUUUUUGUAAACCCUGCGCCACAGAAAUUAGUCCUUUAAGAAUUUCAUUAUAAUUCAUGGGCAUACUUUGAUUUGAUUGGAAUUGUUGUGGGGGAUGCUGUGGUGGCUGCAUAGGUCUUGGAUAGAACUCGUCUUGCUGCCAAUAUCCACCUUUUUGAAAUUGUUGAGGUUCAUCCCACAUAUAAUCUGAAUUACCUCUCCAAUCUGAAUUGCAAGCGUUGGAAAACAUGUUGCCCCUUGAUUGGUUAUAGCCUUGAUAUCCCCAAACAUCUUCAUUGGCAGAAAAUUGAGGACUUUGAUAUCCUUGCCCAUAGGGCACAUCAGGUGUAGGGACACUUGGCAUUGUGGUCCGUUCAGCAUUAUGAGUCAAUUGAGCAGUGAGCUGUGCCAAUUGAGCUUGAAUGGUAGCAAGUGCCAUGUCUCGCUCCAUUUGUACCUAAAUCAAAGAAAGAAAAAUAAAUCAAAUAUCAAAAGUAAAAUACACAAACACCAAUAUAAACAUAAACAAAAACAAAAAUAAAGGGAUUAGCAAAGUUGCUAAUCCCCGGCAACGACGCCAAAAUUUGAUGCGAGAAUUACUUGACACACAAAUUAAACCCUCUUUUUGACAAUUGUAGUAUAGAUGUAAGUAGGGUAUCGUUCUAGGCCGGGGAUUAGGAGGGAUUGCUAAUCUAUUCUAAAUUAAUUUAAACAUAUUAAACAAGACUCAAGGACACAAAACUAGGCUAAAAACUCUAAUAACUCGAAACACACUUAGAAUGACUCAACAUAAUGAAAACAAUCAAUUUAGACACUAGGAACUGAAAUGGACGGAAAUUGAAUUAAAAGACUAACAACAAUGAAAACUAACUAAAUAAUAUAAUUUAAUAAUGGGGGGGGGUUUGGUUUUGACGAGAAGUAAAUUAAACUUAAAUAAAUUACAGAAUUGACAAAAGCAUGAAUUAAGGUGAAAGGAUAGGUGACGGACUAGCUAGAGGGUUCUUCUCCACACAUGACACAUAUGCAACCUAAAUUGAUUUUCAGUUGUUCUUCCAAUAAAUUGUGAAUGACAAUGUUCCAAGUUAAUUAGGUCCGCUUAAAUUAACUCUUAGAUUUCCCUAGAUUCAUUGGAUUGAAUGGAAUACGCAUUACAACCAAAUUAUUCCUCAUCAAAGUCCCUAACUAUGGAAUACGCAUGAUAGAGACAUUCAACAAAGAUCAUUAAGUUCAACGGAAAUCAUAACAUUGACUAGGCAUUCAUAACUAUGGAAUACGCAUGUUAAUCCAGCCUAGAAUUCACUUAACACGAUUGUGGAUAACAACCUUCACUACUUGUGAAUAUAAGUUCAUAACGAUUAGGUAAAAUUCACUUAUAUUCUAGCAUCAAAUUCAUGCAUGUAAAUUAAGUAUGCAUUCUUAAUCGACAUACAAAAAUAAGUUAUCAAUCAAGCAGUUAAGCAAAUUAAAUCACAACUCAGAAAUCACAACUGAAGGUAAUCAAUUCAUAUUACAAAUAUAUUCAUGGCUUUGAACUUCCCCCUAGCUAAGUAGGGGAUUAGUUCCUCAUACUUGCAAUUAAAACAAAAACAAUUGAUAUUAAACAUAGAAAAACAAAGUAGAAUACACCUAGAAUGCUCCAACAACUCCAAUGGAAUGGCUAGCACAACUCCAAGCACUCCUCCUUCUUUGCAAGCCUUGGAACUAAUGUAAAUGUGUAUGAAUUUCUGUGUGU